UCGUUACUCCUCCUUCUUCCUGCAGCUGCUCCCUUCCCGAUGGAGCUGCAUCCUGUUGUGUGAGACAGCCACAGAGAGGAGCAAGGCAAAGGCUGUGCAGACCUGCUUCUAUUGUCAUCUUCCUGGCCACUGAGUCCCCCUCAGCUCCAACCCAGGGACAGCUUUCACGUGGACCUACUUCAGACACCUCCUGGGGCACUCUGGGGAGUCCAGCAGAGAGCUGUGAGGAUGAUGAAGGCAGCUCAGGACUUCAUUGGCUCCAAAUGUCAGCACGAAGUCAGGAAUUCUCUCUUGCCCAGAAGAUGAAGGGCCUGAAGCUGCUGACAUUAUGAGAAGCUCCCCUGUGAGAGUGAAGCAGCUGAGGGAUCUCUCCUUGCCUUCUCCUCGGGCCAGCUGACAGCAGGAGGAAGAGGAGAGGACAGGAUCAG